rnacentral:rRNA from 1 species
UACGUAGGGGGCAAGCGUUGUCCGGAAUCAUUGGGCGUAAAGAGCGCGUAGGCGGCCCGGUAAGUCCGCUGUAAAAGUCCAGGGCUCAACCCUGGAAAGCCGGUGGAUACUGUCGGGCUAGAGUCCGGAAGAGGCGAGUGGAAUUCCUGGUGUAGCGGGUGGAAUGCGCAGAUAUCAGGAGGAACACCGAUGGCGAAGGCAGCUCGCUGGGACGGUACUGACGCUGAGGCGCGAAAGCGUGGGGAGCGAACAGG